GGGAGAUACCAUGAUCUAGCAGGUGGUUUUCCCAGGGUGAGGCUCGCCCCUUGCACUCUGGGCAUGCUGACCCCUGCAAGGGAGAGUGA
rnacentral:snRNA from 1 species